UACGUAGGGGGCAAGCGUUAUCCGGAUUUACUGGGUGUAAAGGGAGCGUAGACGGCAAGGCAAGUCUGAUGUGAAAACCCAGGGCUUAACCCUGGGACUGCAUUGGAAACUGUCUGGCUCGAGUGCCGGAGAGGUAAGCGGAAUUCCUGGUGUAGCGGUGAAAUGCGUAGAUAUUAGGAAGAACACCAGUGGCGAAGGCGGCUUACUGGACGGUAACUGACGUUGAGGCUCGAAAGCGUGGGGAGCAAACAGG
rnacentral:rRNA from 1 species